GAUGAACGCUGGCGGCGUGCCUAAUACAUGCAAGUCGAGCGAACAGACGAGGAGCUUGCUCCUUUGACGUUAGCGGCGGACGGGUGAGUAACACGUGGGUAACCUACCUAUAAGACUGGGAUAACUUCGGGAAACCGGAGCUAAUACCGGAUAAUAUUUCGAACCGCAUGGUUCGAUAAUGAAAGAUGGCUCUGCUAUCACUUAUAGAUGGACCUGCGCCGUAUUAGCUAGUUGGUAAGGUAACGGCUUACCAAGGCAACGAUACGUAGCCGACCUGAGAGGGUGAUCGGCCACACUGGAACUGAGACACGGUCCAGACUCCUACGGGAGGCAGCAGUAGGGAAUCUUCCGCAAUGGGCGAAAGCCUGACGGAGCAACGCCGCGUGAGUGAUGAAGGUCUUCGGAUCGUAAAACUCUGUUAUUAGGGAAGAACAAACGUGUAAGUAACUGUGCACGUCUUGACGGUACCUAAUCAGAAAGCCACGGCUAACUACGUG
rnacentral:rRNA from 1 species